ACCGAACCGACUAAUGUUGAAAAAUUAGCGGAUGACUUGUGGCUGGGGGUGAAAGGCCAAUCAAACCGGGAGAUAGCUGGUUCUCCCCGAAAGCUAUUUAGGUAGCGCCUCGUGAAUUCAUCUCCGGGGGUAGAGCACUGUUUCGGCAAGGGGGUCAUCCCGACUUACCAACCCGAUGCAAACUGCGAAUACCGGAGAAUGUUAUCACGGGAGACACACGGCGGGUGCUAACGUCCGUCGUGAAGAGGGAAACAACCCAGACCGCCAGCUAAGGUCCCAAAGUCAUGGUUAAGUGGGAAACGAUGUGGGAAGGCCCAGACAGCCAGGAUGUUGGCUUAGAAGCAGCCAUCAUUUAAAGAAAGCGUAAUAGCUCACUGGUCGAGUCGGCCUGCGCGGAAGAUGUAACGGGGCUAAACCAUGCACCGAAGCUGCGGCAGCGACGCUUAUGCGUUGUUGGGUAGGGGAGCGUUCUGUAAGCCUGUGAAGGUGUGCUGUGAGGCAUGCUGGAGGUAUCAGAAGUGCGAAUGCUGACAUAAGUAACGAUAAAGCGGGUGAAAAGCCCGCUCGCCGGAAGACCAAGGGUUCCUGUCCAACGUUAAUCGGGGCAGGGUGAGUCGACCCCUAAGGCGAGGCCGAAAGGCGUAGUCGAUGGGAAACAGGUUAAUAUUCCUGUACUUGGUGUUACUGCGAAGGGGGGACGGAGAAGGCUAUGUUGGCCGGGCGACGGUUGUCCCGGUUUAAGCGUGUAGGCUGGUUUUCCAGGCAAAUCCGGAAAAUCAAGGCUGAGGCGUGAUGACGAGGCACUACGGUGCUGAAGCAACAAAUGCCCUGCUUCCAGGAAAAGCCUCUAAGCAUCAGGUAACAUCAAAUCGUACCCCAAACCGACACAGGUGGUCAGGUAGAGAAUACCAAGGCGCUUGAGAGAACUCGGGUGAAGGAACUAGGCAAAAUGGUGCCGUAACUUCGGGAGAAGGCACGCUGAUAUGUAGGUGAAGUCCCUCGCGGAUGGAGCUGAAAUCAGUCGAAGAUACCAGCUGGCUGCAACUGUUUAUUAAAAACACAGCACUGUGCAAACACGAAAGUGGACGUAUACGGUGUGACGCCUGCCCGGUGCCGGAAGGUUAAUUGAUGGGGUUAGCGCAAGCGAAGCUCUUGAUCGAAGCCCCGGUAAACGGCGGCCGUAACUAUAACGGUCCUAAGGUAGCGAAAUUCCUUGUCGGGUAAGUUCCGACCUGCACGAAUGGCGUAAUGAUGGCCAGGCUGUCUCCACCCGAGACUCAGUGAAAUUGAACUCGCUGUGAAGAUGCAGUGUACCCGCGGCAAGACGGAAAGACCCCGUGAACCUUUACUAUAGCUUGACACUGAACAUUGAGCCUUGAUGUGUAGGAUAGGUGGGAGGCUUUGAAGUGUGGACGCCAGUCUGCAUGGAGCCGACCUUGAAAUACCACCCUUUAAUGUUUGAUGUUCUAACGUUGACCCGUAAUCCGGGUUGCGGACAGUGUCUGGUGGGUAGUUUGACUGGGGCGGUCUCCUCCUAAAGAGUAACGGAGGAGCACGAAGGUUGGCUAAUCCUGGUCGGACAUCAGGAGGUUAGUGCAAUGGCAUAAGCCAGCUUGACUGCGAGCGUGACGGCGCGAGCAGGUGCGAAAGCAGGUCAUAGUGAUCCGGUGGUUCUGAAUGGAAGGGCCAUCGCUCAACGGAUAAAAGGUACUCCGGGGAUAACAGGCUGAUACCGCCCAAGAGUUCAUAUCGACGGCGGUGUUUGGCACCUCGAUGUCGGCUCAUCACAUCCUGGGGCUGAAGUAGGUCCCAAGGGUAUGGCUGUUCGCCAUUUAAAGUGGUACGCGAGCUGGGUUUAGAACGUCGUGAGACAGUUCGGUCCCUAUCUGCCGUGGGCGCUGGAGAACUGAGGGGGGCUGCUCCUAGUACGAGAGGACCGGAGUGGACGCAUCACUGGUGUUCGGGUUGUCAUGCCAAUGGCACUGCCCGGUAGCUAAAUGCGGAAGAGAUAAGUGCUGAAAGCAUCUAAGCACGAAACUUGCCCCGAGAUGAGUUCUCCCUGACUCCUUGAGAGUCCUGAAGGAACGUUGAAGACGACGACGUUGAUAGGCCGGGUGUGUAAGCGCAGCGAUGCGUUGAGCUAACCGGUACUAAUGAACCGUGAGGCUUAACCUUACAACGCCGAAG
rnacentral:rRNA from 1 species